AUCCUUGCGACCUCCGCCCCAAGAGUCCUCGCCGCCGGCCAGCGCUACCAUCUCGCAGUGCAAGCAGCCAUCGCCUUGUCGCCUUACUUGCCGGCGACCCAGCGCCGCUUCGUCGUCGUCGAGCUAGCGGCGCCGCAGCUCUCCCCUGGAGCCAUUGUCCUGCACCACCUCCCCGCGGACACGGUGCCGGCUGCAGCCGUAGUCUUCUCGUGGAUCCACCGGCCAACACCGUCACCAACCAUCUCGUCCACGGCCAUCUCCUCGCUUCUCAUGGCUGCUGCUCGUCGGCUCCUCCACACUUCUCCAGUUGGUACUGCCAUGCUCUGUGCGUAGGAUACACACUGGUCUGGGAUAUCAAUAAUGUUCCUCUUCUUUUGUAGGUUUCAUGGCUUUGCAGAUGCUUUUGUAGCUUUCAUGUGAUGACGAGGGCCUUCAUUUGUGCGAAUAUACACAAGUUGCUGGCAUUUCUUCAUUUUGCAUAGUACAAACUCUGCUGGUAUGUGCAAAUGAGGCCAUAUGGAUGGUUCAUCACCAUGAGGCUUCAAUCCAUAGUAACCGGCAAGGUCACAAAUUUAUAUAAUAACAGGAUUGAUGUGCAAAUCUGAUUAGAAAAGGGAGUAAAUUACAAUCAGGACUCUUUUCACUUUUUACUGAUGACAUGCUUCCUCAGUUAAUGAUGCUUUUAUUGAUCCGCUGCUUCUUCCACUCCAUGCGGUACACCUGUGAAAUGUGCCUGCUUUGACUAUUUUGUAUACAACAAUACAAGUACCCACCUCUUUCCUCUUGACAAGUGCCCACCUCUCCAUCAACCCCUUUCCUUCUCUCUAGGUGAGUAUUAAAGGUGCACAUGAGCUAGCUAUAUAAUUUUUGGUCUUUCUUCAAUUGACAUGCGUAGAAAAGUUCUAUUAGUUUCUCUAUUAAAUUGUUUAUAUCCAGCUUUACCUUCAUAUCACAUCCAGGUAAAUUGUUCCUUUUCCCUUCACAUGGUGCAUCCUAAACUGCCAGAAUAUAUGCCAUGUGGUACGUCUUAUUUUUUGCGUGCACGUGUGGAUGACAUCGCUAUAUGCAUGACUGUCCCUUUUGGGUAUAUGCCCAGGAUGGCAUCAGUAUGCACACCCAGCCUUAGAAGCAACACCAUUUGUUUAGAAGGUCUGCAUUAUAGCCGCUAAUGUAAAUAGCUGCUGUCAUAUAUAUGGUGUUUGCUUCUUAAAAUUCUUUUGCUUUACAUAAAACUGCAAUCCAGACUAUGAACGAGCACUUAUGGUUGAAAUCCUAUAGCUCUUAAUUAUUAUUACUCUGAAUGUCUACUACUUUGCUAUGCUUCUUAUUUUCAGGGUAAACAUGUGCCAUGAAAAGUUGCAUUAGGUAAGUCUCAGCCAGCUAUUGCUGAUAAUCUGGCAUGAGCUACAUUUUUGUUAGGCUACAUUACUGUUGUUAUGGAAAAAUGAAAAGGUAUUAAACUGGGGUACUAUUGUUGCUAAUCUGGGAUGAGUUAGAUUUUUGUUGGGCUGCAUUACUGUUGUUAUGGAAAAUGGAAAGGUAUUAAGCAGGGGUACAUAUGUGUUGCUAAUCUGGGAUCAACUACAUUUAUUUCCCAGUUAGGUUCAUCUCUAGCAGCAUCAGCUUUAUAGAUCUUUUAUCUUAGUUAAUCCUAUUGAAUAGUGCUAUUUUGCCUUAAUUUUCCUUUCUUAUCUUCUGGAAUAGCAUAUCUUUACUUUCCUAAUUAUUUUCUACAAUAAUAUAA
rnacentral:lncRNA from 1 species